rnacentral:rRNA from 1 species
UAUUGAAAUUUGAAAGGUUGA